CGUCGGUCUCCUAAACCGAAGUUUGGGGGUUCGAGUCCCCCCGUGGGUCCAGUGUUUGAUGAAUCUCCCUGUGUGUUGAAACCAUGAGAACCGGCAGAUUGGGUUUACACUUUGCAGACAAAAAUCCUUAAUCUAGGGAACAAGAAUAAAGGAAUGGAAAUGUCGCUGGUCUGGCAGGAGAAAGCCAGUCGCACUGCGUUGUACACUCAAACUCUGUUGGUACAGACAUACAUUGUUCCCUGCCUCUAAUGCCUCAGUCCGGCGAUUAAGCUCCAUUUACUUGCUGAAAGAGGAGCUUAAGGAUCUGGUGGAAAGACCUCUCUUUCAGCCCUAACAUUAUCCCUUAGAGGUUUAUCAUGAAAAACUUGCCUACGACAGAGUUUUAUUGACCUUGAGACCAUCUUUGUCCUGGUUUCUACGCUACACUCUGCAUUAAGAACCGGGUCCUUAUAAAGUAAUUUUAAAAAGAAAUAAUUUACUUAUUUUUUUCUUCUUGAUAUAUUUUUAACUGAAGUACUUUAUCAAUUCCCUCACAUUUCUUCAACUUGCCAAUUUAUUUUUUCUUGUGUAGUUUGUAGUGUGGUGACUUAGGCUCUUCCUUAAACUCUCCUCGCAUUGAAGGGUGACUGUUUAUUUAUUU